rnacentral:rRNA from 1 species
UACGUAGGGCGCGAGCGUUGUCCGGAAUUAUUGGGCGUAAAGAGCUCGUAGGCGGCUGGUUGCGUCUGCUGUGAAAUCCCGGGGCUUAACCCCGGGCGUGCAGUGGAUACCGGCCGGCUGGAGGCAGGCAGGGGAGAAUGGAAUUCCCGGUGUAGCGGUGAAAUGCGCAGAUAUCGGGAGGAACACCGGUGGCGAAGGCGGUUCUCUGGGCAUGACCUGACGCUGAGGAGCGAAAGUGUGGGGAGCGAACAGG